rnacentral:rRNA from 1 species
UUAGUAGUUGAACUAGAUAGUUGAACUAGAUAGUUGACUAAUAAAACUAAAUUAUGAACGUAGGCCGGAAAUGUCGUACUCAUCGGACGACGAUAACCGUCCGGGGGAGUGCGACUGGUGCCACGACAACCGAGGUAUCUGCGACAGGUUCAUUGAGCUGGAUGAAGAUCGGCGCUUCAGCAUUAACCUCGAGGAGACUUGCGACGUUCAUACGGUACGCAACGACGACAAUAGGUUUUUUCGUAAUUAAGCACGACUUCAACUAUUUUAACGUGUAUUUUUCAUCUUUCCUAUUCGACUAGCUUAUCCCAUGCUUUGCAAGACGCUAUGUCUUGGAGAGGAUGGGUAUUGAAGACCAUGAAAAUUUUGAAACCAAAAAAAUUAUCCUAAGUACCGAACAUGACGUGGAUUUUCAAGUAAAGCUGUACAAUGCUCAGAGUGUAACCCAUUUUGGUUGCAAAAAUUGGGAUGCAUUUUGCAAGAUGUAUGGUCUUGAUGAGGGUAUGACUAUCACCAUGGAUCUUGGUGAUCCUACAAUCGAGCAAGAGACACCUACGAUUUGGGUCUUUGUGGAUACACCUCCAGUUCUUCCCUCAUCUUAUUUUCAUGCUUCAAAGAAUGUGCGGAAGAUGGUAGAUAGAACGUACUACACCGAAGGCUGCGAAUUAACUUAUCAGGAGAAACAAUAUCUGGUCGGAUUUUGUAGAGAUCUUGAGAAUUACAAUAUCUACAAUAAAACUCCUCAACAUUAUGGUCAAUACGUGCCACUAGUGCACGUGUUGAACUACGGUAACUACCAUGGAGAUACCUUGAUAAUCCCGAAUGAUUGUGUGCCUCAUCUGAUGUAUACGCGUGGUAGCCUUCAUGUUUUGAACAUACUACCAGGUCGUCCUACGAAUCUCAACUGUCCAUACCGGGUUUUUAAAAUAAGUGGAGACAUAACAAUCAAAGAAUGGAGAAAAUGUAUGGACAGUCGUAAGGAGCUUCUUGGAAGCAAUAAGCAGCGAAAGGCAAGAAUUGGAGACAGGAUGAUCGCCAUUCUUCAUAACGGAGAGUCAGUGUCUAUAUUGUUUUAUGCUAUUUUACCUUAAAGGUGUUUAGGUCCUACCUGAUACUGAUGAUCAUGUGCUAAG